UAGUUUAUUAAUAAACAUAAUGCUGCUUAAUACACAGAUGGGAAAAAUUCAAAAAAGAAAAAUGAGUUUUGACUUUCAUCAUUUCUUUAUAUGAAUACGAAAUGGCCAUGAAUGUUGUAUCCUCCAGAUUUUGGGGUUCUUAUGCAAAGUUAGAUUAAUCAAUAAACAGCAGCAGACACUGAGCAGUUUGUGUGAUCCAUCAGUUGGUAAGUAGUGGUGUUCCCUCGGUACAGACCUGGCUCUUGCACUCUGCACAGAUGCCUCAGACUUUCAGCCGUGGUAUUUUUUUUUUUCUCUUCCAAAGUAAUUAACUUGUGGAAAUGAUUUACCCUUGAAUGGUUGUCAGAUCAAUUUCUCAUUGGAGGUCUUUGUAAACCUGCUGUGGCACCCGCAGCCUGUCAGAUCUCUGCCAUUGGGCACAUCAGGUCCCAUUUGAGCGGUUUUAGUGUAACACAGUAAUGUGAGCCUUUAAACAAAUACCAAAUUGUUGCAGAUUUGAAGUGACAAUUUAUUGAAGAUAAUAAAUAACUUAAUAGUGAAGGGAAAAUGUGUUGGGAAGGUCUGCGGUAUUGCCAGGUGUGUUUUUUUUAACUUUCUUACCUUUUAAUCGUUAAACAAAAACAGACAAAUGGAAAUUCAGAAACAAUGUGAAAGUUUCCUCGGCUUUAUUAAGAGUUUAAUAUCAAGUUUUAGUUCACUGUUUUAUUUUGUAAAUUUUUCUAACAUUUUUUUUAACAAUUUUGCCAAAUUGAAAGAUGAUAUUGUAUUCAUGCCACUUUCCUGCUUCCUGCAUCGGAUUUUUUCAUAGUUGUUUGUUUAUUGUGUUUCCUUGUGUAUGUCACCUGGUUGUGCUUUUUGUGUUCCUUCCUGUUCUAUUUUAUAACCUUUUCUUUUUUUGGUUGUUUUUUGUCUUUAUUUUUUAGCCUUCAUAAUUGCUUUCCCUGCUACAGUUAGUUUCAUCAGUGUUCUGGUAGCACAUUAGCACAUUAGCACAUUCGUUUUUACGCUCUCCUGUCUCUCCCAGUCUGUCUGUUUACCCUCCACCUGUUUUCUUCCUUGUGUGUUGCUCUUUUUUUUUUCCUUUUGGUUACAAAAAAAACUGGACAUCUGUUAAAUGCUCAGGCUAAACUAUCCAACCCUUUCAGUUAUGCCAUCUACUCUACAUAUUUUAUCAAAGUUUUCUUUUGUUUGCUAAACCUGUCUCUGCUGAAUACAUUCGAGCCCCCAAAUGAUAAAAAAAAGAUUAACUUCUAGUUUAACUUGAAUGUUUGUGCAUCAAAGCUACAAGUCCUAUCAGCAAAUACUCUGUACUCAUAGUUCCCACUUUGGUGCAGAUGAAAGCUUAUUAUGCAUUAAAUUCACCUUACCUUGACCACUCCACUGAUGCUCCACAAGGGCUGAAAAGAUGAAAAGACUUGACUAUGGAUCAUUGUUUGGACAAAGUAAAAAUAUUCUUUGACCUGAACAGAGAUACAUUUUUUUGUUUUUUUCGCUAACGAGUUAGCAUUUUGUUGCUAAUUUUAUUGCUGUUUCUAUUGUUACGUCUUUUAUUUAAGUAGCAUAAUUGAUUUAUCAGUUGUUGUUUUUUAUCACACUUAAAUAUUUUAAAUUUUUUUACGCAAAAAAAAUAAAAUAAAAUUCUGAGGUAGACUAUUCAACAGUUUGCUGCUUGCUAGACAGGCCAGAGUUUAGUCUUAUAAAAUGCAUGACAGGAAAGAUUGAUGUGUCUUUAUUUGGUUGCCUCAGAUGUGCUUGGUAAUUACAGCAUUUUAAACUCUUAAGUGUUUUUAUAUCCUAUGAUGAGCCAAACAAGGUAGCAGUCUGGUCUGUGGGUCUGUAAUUUACCAACACACCACGUCAGUUAUUAUUUUAAACAAAGCUGAUGGCUCUAUUUACAGACACAAGAAUGUUUGCAUUACUUCUUCUAACAAUUC
ensembl:lncRNA